rnacentral:SRP_RNA from 1 species
GCUGAGCUCAGUUGCGAGAGCUUGUAACCCGAGUGGGGGCAUUAAGGUGAUGUGGACGCUGUUGUAGUGUUGCGGGCCUGGUCUGGGUGUGCUAUUGCUGGCCCGCCCGUUCCAAGUUGCGUAGUGGACUCGUUGGGGCCUAUGCGAAAGCCGGGCCUCACGAUCCAUAAUGUGGUAGGCACAGCGUGAGGCUGGCUUCACAGAGCACCUUGCAGCCUACUCCAACGAACCAUCACUUUUUUUAGGUUAUCUUUUUUCCAAUCAUCAAGGCGGUGGUUGUGAGGUUGAGUUUCGCCUAG